rnacentral:rRNA from 1 species
GUGGGGAAUAUUGGACAAUGGGGGGAACCCUGAUCCAGCCAUGCCGCGUGUGUGAAGAAGGCCUUUUGGUUGUAAAGCACUUUAAGCGAGGAGGAGGCUACCGAGAUUAAUACUCUUGGAUAGUGGACGUUACUCGCAGAAUAAGCACCGGCUAACUCUGUGCCAGCAGCCGCGGUAAUACAGAGGGUGCAAGCGUUAAUCGGAUUUACUGGGCGUAAAGCGCGCGUAGGUGGCCAAUUAAGUCAAAUGUGAAAUCCCCGAGCUUAACUUGGGAAUUGCAUUCGAUACUGGUUGGCUAGAGUAUGUGAGAGGAUGGUAGAAUUCCAGGUGUAGCGGUGAAAUGCGUAGAGAUCUGGAGGAAUACCGAUGGCGAAGGCAGCCAUCUGGCCUAAUACUGACACUGAGGUGCGAAAGCAUGGUGAGCAAACAGGAUUAGAAACCCGGGUAGUCC